rnacentral:ncRNA from 1 species
CACUCCGGUGCCACGGGCGAUCUCCCCAAGGACCACGGGAGAGAAAGAACCCGCACCAAGCCCCACCCCUCCUCCCGCCCGCGCAGCUCACCCGCCCGGGUGAACAUCACCAACUCAGCUGGAUUUCGGCCCGGUUGCUUGCCCUACUCUCAGCGCAACGCAGCAACACAACCGCACACAUGCAACGGCCCCCGCCGGGACGGCAAUCCCGAUGCGAGGGCCUGACCACCAAGGAAGAGAACAGCUUCCCG